rnacentral:lncRNA from 1 species
AAAGAUACAAUAACAUGUAGUGGAUCUUCUAUUAAUCUUGGAACCAGCCCAAUCAGCAUCUGCAAAACACUCAAUGAGUAUGGUUGUGAUUGCUAUACAAUAUGCCAAGUCCAGGAGCUCCUUUCAAGUAACAUACUGUUCUAAAGCUGCCCAAUGCUCGACCGUAGGUGUAGACAUGAAUUGACUUACAACACUUACUUCGAAGGCAAUAUCAGGACGAGUCACUGUGAGGUAGUUUAACUUCCCAACUAUCCUUCUAUACCUCUCUGGAUUAUCAGAAGGGUCGCCAUCUUUCAUGAGAUGCACAUUGGGAACCAUUG